rnacentral:rRNA from 1 species
AUUGAACGCUGGCGGCAUGCCUUACACAUGCAAGUCGAACGGCAGCAUGAAGAGCUUGCUCUCUGAUGGCGAGUGGCGAACGGGUGAGUAAUGCAUCGGAACGUACCGUGUAAUGGGGGAUAACGUAGCGAAAGUUACGCUAAUACCGCAUACGACCUGAGGGUGAAAGCAGGGGAUCGCAAGACCUUGCGUUAUACGAGCGGCCGAUGUCAGAUUAGCUAGUUGGUGAGGUAAAGGCUCACCAAGGCGACGAUCUGUAGCGGGUCUGAGAGGAUGAUCCGCCACACUGGGACUGAGACACGGCCCAGACUCCUACGGGAGGCAGCAGUGGGGAAUUUUGGACAAUGGGGGCAACCCUGAUCCAGCCAUGUCGCGUGAGUGAAGAAGGCCUUCGGGUUGUAAAGCUCUUUCGGCCGGGAAGAAAUCGCACAGGCUAAUACUCUGUGUGGAUGACGGUACCGGCAUAAGAAGCACCGGCUAACUACGUGCCAGCCGCCGCGGUAA